rnacentral:misc_RNA from 1 species
GUGAAGAACGUAGCGAAAUGCGAUAAGUAAUGUGAAUUGCAGAAUUCAGUGAAUCAUCGAAUCUUUGAACGCACAUUGCGCCCGCCAGUAUUCUGGCGGGCAUGCCUGUUCGAGCGUCAUUUCAACCCUCAAGACCCCUUCGGGGGACUUGGUGUUGGGGACCGGCACAGGGGCCUGCCUGCUUGUCUUGCAGCGCCCUCGCCGCCCCCGAAAUGAAUUGGCGGCCUCGUCGCGGCCUCCCCUGCGUAGUAGCACAAACCUCGCAACGGGAACGUGACGGCGGCCACUGCCGUAAAACAACCCAAUUUUAUUAGAGUUGACCUCGAAUCAGGUAGGAAUACCCGCUGAACUUAAGCAUAUCAAUAAGCGGAGGA